CCUUAAUCCCACAUAUUCUCUUUACCCGAUCUCCUUCUCGCAGCGGCGGCUGAAUCCUUCUCCAGCGGUGGCGGAAUCCUUCUCCUGCAGCGGCGCAGGUCUCGCUCGGUGUAGUUGGAGACACUCGUAUCAUAAAGCACUUUUGUAGAUCUUCCCCGUGGUCAUUAGAGGUGACAUCUAAUAUUUUUUUUCCCCUCUUGUUCUACAAGCUAUUUGAAGAAAAAUGUUCCGCUCUAAGUCAGAUUCCUCCGCGUGACGAUGAUGAUGAUGGCGACGAUGAUAACGAUGAUGCUGGAUUGGUGAGGCGAAAUAUGUAUCGGAGAAAAAAGAAGAGAAGAGUUGAUGGGGAUGAAAGAUUUUGUGGAG